rnacentral:rRNA from 1 species
ACGCAGAGUUUGAUCCUGGCUCAGGACGAACGCUGGCGGCGUGCCUAAUGCAUGCAAGUCGAACGCAGCGACCUUCGGGUCGUUGAGUGGCGCACGGCUGAGGAACACGUGGGUAACCUGCCCCGACGUGGGGGAUAACGGAUCGAAAGGUUCGCUAAUCCCGCAUACGGUCCUUCGGGAAGAAAGCCUUCGGGCGCGUCGGGAGGGGCCUGCGGCCCAUCAGGUUGCUGGUGAGGUAACGGCUCACCAGGCCAAUGACGGGUUCCUGGUCUGAGAGGACGACCAGGCAGACUGGGACUGAGACACGGCCCAGACUCCUACGGGAGGCAGCAGCAAGGAAUUUUCCGCAAUGGGCGCAAGCCUGACGGAGCAACGCCGCGU